GUUUUCAAAAACUAGGAUGUUGAGCUUGUUUUGUCUAGCAGCCGAAAGGGGUUGAGUUGGCACAAGGCAACUAUGCCUGGGAUACUCCGCGUAAGGAAAUUGUCAGGGCUUGCUUUUGUCCAUUGUAAUGGGCAUUAUGUUGCUUCAACGGCCGAAGGCUCGGUUACGUGGUUGCUUCACUGCUUGGGCAGACAUUUCUAAAAUUAUUUGCCCUUUAUUUUAUUGUUCAGUGGUCUAAUCAUAAAAUUAUUAGAUCAUAAGAGAGAGUAAUUAUUAAAGGUUAAUGUCCUUCUAAAUUUGAUUUUUGA
rnacentral:misc_RNA from 1 species